GACGAACGCUGGCGGCGUGCUUAACACAUGCAAGUCGAACGGAAAGGCCCUGCUUUUGUGGGGUGCUCGAGUGGCGAACGGGUGAGUAACACGUGAGUAACCUGCCCUUGACUUUGGGAUAACUUCAGGAAACUGGGGCUACUACCGGAUAGGAGCUCCUGCUGCAUGGUGGGGGUUGGAACGUUUCGGCGGUUGGGGAUGGACUCGCGGCUUAUCAGCUUGUUGGUGGGGUAGUGGCUUACCAAGGCUUUGACGGGUAGCCGGCAUGAGAGGGUGACCGGCCACAUUGGGACUGAGAGACGGCCCAGACGCCAACGGGAGGCAGCAGGGGGGAAUAUUGCACAAUGGGCGGAAGCCGGAUGCAGCAACGCCGCGGGCGGGAUGACGGCCUGCGGGUUGUAAACCGCUUUCGCCUGUGACGAAGCGUGAGUGACGGUAAUGAGUAAAGAAGCACCGGCUAACUACGUG
rnacentral:rRNA from 1 species